rnacentral:lncRNA from 1 species
CUCUAGGAUUAAGCCAGCUGGUGGCUGACUGCUGUGGUUCUGUAGCUUACAAUCCACUUAAUGAGAUUUGCUGUAAUGGCAGGAUUCUGACUCAAAGCAGCACUCACGUGAAAUGCUGUGGCAAAGACAUGUACUUGACAGCGACUCAUUUGUGUUGUGGUGGCAACAACAUAUUUCAAUGGAAGGAAAAUCAUUCUUGUUGUGGCAAGGAAACAUAUGACAAGACAACCCACUGCUGCUGUACUAACCCUACACUAGAAGUAAAGCCUAAACAUGAAACUUGCUGUUCAAAAACAACAGGUUAUAAUCUGAAUCCUAUUCUCACAGAUAAAAAGAAAGAAUCCCAGCAAGGCUCUCCUCCCACUCGCACACUCCCCAAAAACUCAGAAUUAAAGUGUGGAACAAAACCCUUCAAUCCCCAGGAAGAAAUGUGUUGCUCAGGGAAUCUGUAUAAGAAGGCAUCAGCACUUACUAAGUGCUGUGGCGUAGAUUCUUACACUCUGUCAGAUGACAAUGUGCUGUGCUGUAAUGGAAUCCUUUAUCGCAAUGUAUCUGAGCAGUCAGAGUGUGUUGGAGGUGUUAUAUAUACUCCAGCAAACACUACUUGCCAAAUGUCGAACCGUCCUCGUCUUGGCGAGCACUGCUGUGGAGGACAAACCAUCAAUCAUCGCACGCAUAUUUGCUGUAACGAACACAGCCACAUCAAGAUGAAUGGCAAUUUCUGUUGUGGUUCAGAAGUCUAUGACCACCACAACCAGUUCUUGAGAUGCUGUUCAGGUCAUCUCUACAACCUAACCCAUUUACAUGGAAAAGCAGAGUGCUGUGGAAACCUAUUGCUACAAUAUAAUAACAAUCAAACUUGCUGUUCCUCCUCAACCAAUUCCAUAAUUUAUGACACCAAACCAAACCACCAUUGCUGUGGGCAUUACUACUACAACACGCCCCUGUGGAGCUGCUGUGCUGAACA